rnacentral:rRNA from 1 species
GACGUAGGGCGCGAGCGUUGUCCGGAAUUAUUGGGCGUAAAGAGCUCGUAGGCGGUCUGUCGCGUCGGCUGUGAAAACCCGGAGCUCAACUUCGGGCCUGCAGUCGAUACGGGCAAACUGGAGUGUUGCAGGGGAGACUGGAAUUCCUGGUGUAGCGGUGAAAUGCGCAGAUAUCAGGAGGAACACCGGUGGCGAAGGCGGGUCUCUGGGCCGAUACUGACGCUGAGGAGCGAAAGCGUGGGGAGCGAACAGG